GAAGAAUGACCCCCUUCUCUCGCUCACUCCCUCUCCCUCCUCCCUCUCGCUCUCAGACUAUUUCAGACUCUCUGUCAGACUUGGGCUCACAUCGGACGGAGGGAUGGAAAGCCUCCAGCGUCUCUCCUCCAUCACAGACACCGACCUUUCUCUCCGCGCGUCCGCGACCAGAGCAUUCGCCACCACCGCAGCGACAGGAGAGACACCGCGUCACAGCUAAUCCGUCCGCACCGCAUCAUCUCCCUCCAGCGCAGCGCUAGUUACGCUGCAGAAACUGGAUUAUCAGAGGGAUUUUGGGACGGAUAGACUCUUCACUGGACCUCUAAAUUAACCCCCUCUUCGCCGACAGCACGUACAGUCUCCACUCCGCGCUUGUCUUUUUUCUGCACCGCGUCGGUGAUUCGCCCUCACAAGGGGAGAAACUCAGCAGUUGUUGCAGCUUUUUAUUUGCAUGUCGACGUGCAUCCCACCACCAUGCGGAGGUUACUGCAUUCCUGGAGUUGCUGCUGGUGGAUUUGCUGGGUGCUGGUGCAAGCCUCCGCGUUCCCCCGGGCCGACUUUCAUCCAGCUCUGACAGGAAGCCAAGCUGAGUCCAGAGCCACUAUCCCGGGCCUUUACGGAGCAGCGGUCGACGGGUCGAGACAGCGGAGAGCAGCGGAGAACUACUGGGCCUAUUCAGGCUGCGUGACCCUGGCUCUCCAUCCAUACAGGAAGUCAGCACCUCUAGUCAGGUGCUGGGAACACUAAUCGACAGAGCACUUUUAAGCAUUAACGACUCGCAGAUAUGAAGCUGGAUCAUUGAUGGCACCAAAGCAGGUACCUACAGGAAAUCUUGCGAUUCUGAUGCAUUAUUAAUCUGUUUCAUUAAUGGAGGAAGCCUUUAACAGCUCGCCUGUUCAACUCAGGCUGUGUUACCAUGUGAAAAACUCCUUUCAAACCUUCUGAGAGCAAAUUCAGAUGUCAGCGUUGAGGAUCCAACUCUUUGUUCUCCUGAUCAUGUGUAGAUGAAGUCAGCCAGUGAAAAGAGUAAAAACCCAGAAUUCAGUUUUAUAGUACAUGUAUGGACAAACAAGAGGAAGUUAUCACAGCUUGUUUCUAUAAGAGCUUAUUUAAACAGGUAAAAUAAAUCAAUGUUUCUUCUAAUUAUCAUGCAAAGUUAUGCAGGAAGUUGCCCUGAAUCUUCUCAGGUCAUCUGGAAGCUCUGAAGUAAUGUAAAUGUUAAUAUAGUCCCUGAAACCUAUUUGCAUUUUAAUGACAAGAAUAUUAUCACACACGGGCAAACAACAGAUCUGCUAAAAUGGUGCGAGAGAAAGGAAAGAUGGAAUAUUUAGGAGCAUAUGGUGUCAUCAGAAACAUCUGUUCUGUCUUCAGCAUCUUCAGGUGCUUCAUCUUCAUCAAAGUGCAACAUUAAUGUGUCCUUCACAGGAGGACCAACUGGUCUAGGUCUUGCUGUCUUUCUUGAGCCAUCUUUCAUCUUUGGAAAUGUGAUCUUUUGUUUUGAUCUUUUUCAUAAUGGUGCCAUGGGACCGAACCUUGAGGGCCUGCAGCUUGGCCAACUUCUCCUUAUGUAGUUGUGACAUGGGGUCUUUUCUGUGUAGAGACACCAUCAUCUGGAAUUUCAUUUUCUCCUGUCAACCCUCCUCCCCCUCUUCAUCCACCGGCUGUUUCAUUGCCACCAUUCCAGCCGAAACCAACCUUUGAGUAUCUACAUCCUGUAGAUACUCAUCAUACACACCAACACUCCUGAUUUAGGUGUGACAAACUUCCCAUUUCAAAGUGAAAUCUAUUGUCUCUAUUGUUCCUCUCUUUUGUCUGGACCCUGGGUGCCCCCCUUCUCUCUCUAUCGCUCUCUCUUUGAGGAGCGUGCUGUGAGCUUAGAGCAUUCUCAUUUGAGAAAUGUUCAACCUGUUUAGGUGAUUUUCUCAUUAAUGUCCUUGUCAGGAUAGUUUAUUUACGUGUUGGUGGUGUCUUGUGUGAGUUUAUUAGUUUAGUUGUCGGUAUUUUUUGCGUUCAUCUGGCUAGGUCUUUGUACGCCAUGGAGGAGGUUGUCCUGGCUGUGGGGUAGGUGAUUGGACAUGGGUCUGUGAAGUUAGCUGCCCGGAUGAACAGGGAUGUGAUUUUGUUUGCGGAGAAGGUGUAGCAAGUGAACUGGCUGGUGGAGGCCGGUGUCAGUGGAAGGUUCAAGGUGCUGUUAUCUCUGAGCCAACCGGCCACCAAAGUUACCUUGUCCAACAUGCACCCUGUUCAUCACGGAUGAGUUUCUGUGCAGGGAUUUAUCCAGACAUGGUUUCAUCUCCUCUGAGAAAAGUCAUGUCUGGAUAUAAAUCUCCACAACUGAAGCACAUUGUGUCCCAUCACCAGCAGCUUUACAUGAUCCUCAAUAACUGCAAUGAGGAUCUGAAUGUAUGUUUAAGAGUCCGGGUGGAGGACUUUGAUUUUGUCCUGUUCGCUUCAUCAGAGCACAUGAAGUGUUUUGGCUGUGGUGAAAUGGGUCAUAUGAUAAAGAUGUGUCCGCAGGGAGCCUAAUUGGCUCCGCCAGGCUCAGGAGAGCAGCCUUUGCAGACCAACUCACCAGAGCCGAGGGUAAAACCUAUUUACAA
rnacentral:lncRNA from 1 species